CACGUAGUUAGCCGGAGCUUAUUUUACAGGUACUGUCAUUAUCUUCCCUGUCUAAAGCAGUUUACAAUCCGAAAACCUUCUUCCUGCACGCGGCGUCACUGCGUCAGAGUUUCCUCCAUUGCGCAAUAUUCCCGACUGCUGCCUCCCGUAGGAGUCUGGGCCGUAUCUCAGUCCCAAUGUGGCCGUUCAACCUCUCAGUCCGGCUACUGAUCGUCGACUUGGUAGGCCUUUACCCCACCAACUAUCUAAUCAGACGCAAGCCCAUCUAUCAGCGGAUUGCUCCUUUCCCUUUUGCAACAUGCGUUGCUAAGGCAUAUGCGGUAUUAGCAGUCAUUUCUAACUGUUGUUCCCCUCUGAUAGGCAGGUUGCUUACGUGUUACUCACCAGUCCGCCACUAACCGCUCCAAUAGUAAACUAAUGGUUAAGUUCGUUCGACUUGCAUGUCUUAUGUGCGCCGCCAGCGUUUAUCCUGAGCCAGGAUCAAACUCU
rnacentral:rRNA from 1 species